CCUAGAAGUCUCCAUGCUGCUAAAGAGCUGUCAUGUCACUCACAGGCUCCACGGUGACAUUCCAAGGGUGUCCAAGGCUGCAAAAGAACCAUGAGAUCACACGCUGUUAGAGGAACUCCACAGGGACAUCCCAGGGGAUCCAGGCUGCUAAAGAAGUGCUUUGUCACAGCCACUCAGAGGGGCUCCAUUGUGACAAGCCAGUGGCUGCUGUGCUCCUAAAGAGCAGUGAGGUCACAGGCAAUGACAGCAGCUCUGUGCUGACAUCCCCUGUGUUUCUACGCUGCUAAAGAACUCAGACAUCACCAGAACUGACAGUGGCUCCAUGGUGACAUCCCAGGUUUUUCUAAACUGCUGAAGUGCACUCAGCUCAAAGGUCCGCCCAAGGCUUCCAUCCUCACAUCCCAGAGGGAUCCAGGUUUCUAAAGAGCCCUGAGCCCACCUGCACUCACAGGGCUUCCAUGGUGACAUCGUGGGGCUCUCUGGGCCUUCUAGGGAGCCAGCAGGUCACCGGCACUGACAGGCGCCCCAUGCUCACAUCCUGCAAGACUCUGGGCGGCUAAAGAGACGGCAGGAGCAGUACAGGAGUUCUAUGACAGGAAGACGGCAUGAGGAUUAAGAAGAAGAAGUUGACAGUGACCAGAAAGAAUCCUGUGUUUGAAUGGAAUCUAUGCAUCAUGUAUGAGAUGUAUGAAUAUGCAACAGGCAAUUGUUUUUAAGGGUUAAUCCUCUGUUAACGGGGGUCCUUUUUCGGGCUUGUGCUGCCCAGAAAAAGGUACCCGGACGUCCGUAUCUCUUUGUUUUUAUUGUCUCAUAUUGUCCUCAUCUCAAAUGUUCAAAUUUUACUAUUCUAAUUAUAUUACUAUUUUUAUAACCAUUUUAUUACUAUUAAACUUUUAAAAUUUCAAAAACAAGUGACUGGCGUUUUUCACAAUCAUGGUAGCAGAGGAUGGUUCACACCUCGCUGCCGGUGCCUUAGGAGUCAGAGUGGGGAGGCGCGCCCUGCCCGAUUUGGCAGCCUCGCUCUGCUUCCCCUGGUGCAACCGACAGAUGCAGGUUACAUCGGUGGACAAGGAGAGGCAAUAAAACAAAGGGAAGGGAAAAAGGCUCCCUUUCUAAAACCACGGUAAUUGGCCCCCUAAGAGUAGUAGUGCACACCAAGAACCCGGAAAAGAAAAAGGAUUGGUAAGUACUUUUUGGGGGGGCAGGUACGGGGGGAUGAAUGAGAGGCGGGCUGGUUGUCCCAGACCUGCUACCCAAGUGUGGAGUCUCCCAUGCUGCGGUUCCGUCUUUCCAUGAGGAAAACGGCCAGGAAAGAGACGAAGUGAAUGUUAAAAGGAGUGAGAGAAUCCCCCGGGGUAACUGGGACUGGGUCUCAGGGAGGGGUUGGAUCCCUCGGAGGAAGGGAGCAGAGUUUCCUAGCCCAAUCCACUAGGAAACGGGACAAGAGGGGCCCCUGAAAACCUGCUGGGUUGAGGGAUUUACAUUCCAAUAGCAUCCAGAGUUGAGCAGAAUUCUGCCGGUUGAGGAUAUGCCCAAGAGCAUCCGCGGUUGGACAACUCAGCAAGAUUGAGGCAUAAACAUUUUAACCAAGAACAUCCGGGGUUAGACAGCACAGCUAGAUGGAGGGAUAAAAAUAUUUUUGCCCAAGAGCAUCCAGGGUUGGACAACACAGCCAAAAAAAUAGACAUGCUUAAGAGCAUCCGGGUUGUACCACAUAGCUGGAUUGAGGGGGAAAAUGCCCAAGAGCAUCUGGGGUUGGACAGCACAGCUGGAUUGAGGGAUAUCCAAUAGCACCGGGACUGGCCAGUAACACCUAAAAUUGUAAUAGGUGGUUUGAAAGUAAAAGGUACCUUAUUGUUGUCUUGUUGUGUGUGUGACCUGCACACAGGCCAUUGUCUCCAGGGCAAGGGGGAACUCUGGCUCAGGUACAAGUGACCUGCAACGGGCCACUGUUCUCCCUGGUGUGUGGAGGGGGCUGUGGCUAAAGAGUGUGAGAGACACGCAAACAGCCUCACAAGGGAACUGGCACCCGAGGCACCAGAGCCAGAGCCCUUCCAGGAGGCCCAGCGAGAGGCCAACCCCAAGGCGAAAAGGGGGGGCACAGGGACCCGUGAUUCUCUCGAGAUAGAGAUUCAGUUUGGGUGUGAGUCGUUGAAAGAAAAGCGGUGGUUAAGCUGUUAGUGAGAAUGAGAAACAGAGGCAGAGGAUGAAUAGAUAAGAUCUUGAAAAUGGAAUAGAAAACCAGUAAAUUAGGUACAGGAAAAAGGGGGAAUAGAAGCAUACUAGCGGAGAUACCCCAAGAUAGCCCUUUGGGAGUUAUGUUAGCUAACAGAAAUACAACUCCUUGCAAAAGGAGAAAAUACAGCAUAUGCAGUAGUUGAUAGGAAAAAAACACAAACAUGCAAACUGUUGAAAUAGAAAAAUUACCAUCAACUGGUCAGCUCAAACCUGUGAAUUAUAUGCUCUAAAAGAGCACAGGAAUAUUUAGUACCAAAAAGGAAAUACAUAUAUAUAUAUACUGAUCCAAGGUAUGCCUUUGGAGUAGUACAUACCUUUGGAAAAAUUUGGGAAGAAGAACUACUUAAUUCAAGAGGAAACAGAUUAGUACAUAAGGGGCUCAUUUUAGAAGUUUUAGAGGCAUCAAAAUUACCUGAAGAGGUAGCUAUAGUACCCAUUAAAGAACGCAAAAAAAGUUAAAGAUCACUGAAAUCAGUGGAAAUAAUUUGGCAGAUCAGGAAUCUAAAGAUGCAGUAGAAAAUGGAGCUGAAAGAGUUAUGUUAAUAUUAAUUCCAAAUGAAAAAAAAAUGGAAAUUUCAAAGUUUAGGGAGGCAGAAAAAAAAAAUUAAAGAUAGGUGGUGAAUAAGAUGAAUCAGAGAAAUAGAAACUUUGUGAAGGAAGACAAUUAGUUAAUAAAAUGCUUACUAGGGAAUAUUAGAAGACAUGCAUCAGAAAACCCACUGGGGCACUCAAGCUUUGUGUGAUCAUUUUUUUAGAAACUAUGGGUACAUUGGGAUCUUUAGAGCAGCAAAGCAAGUAACUGAAAAAGAUAUAAUUUGCGAAAGGGUAAAUAAAAAAGUGAUGAGUAAAACAACAUGAGGACAUCGUAAGUUAGCUUGUUGACCAUUUCAAAGUAUCCAAGCAGAAGUUUGGAUUUGUUAAGCUCUGGAUU